rnacentral:lncRNA from 1 species
UACAUCCUUAGGAAUUGACAAUAUGGUAACAUUUAGAACUGCUUAAACUGAUUCCUAUACCACAGGUUCUCUUGGACUAUUGGAAGAAAAGAAAAGAAAAAGAAGCCAUCUGUUGAAGCAUCUGUAUUACAGAUCUGGGAGCAAAAACUGAUUUCAGGUGUGCCUCUGUACUUGGAGAUCAAAUAAUCAGUCAGACAUCAAUGAUAUUCACACAUUUGCUCAAAAGCAUAAAGUAGCUUAAUUUGUUUUUGUCAAAACAAACAGCUUUUCUAUAUUAGCGUUUCUCUAGAUUACUUUUCAUAGACUGCCCAUAGUAACUAACAGUCAGGCUCUGUGUUGUUUAGCUUAACCAUUUACCACAGGAAAUCUAAAAGCAAUUAUCUCAUGUUGUUUGAUCAGGGCUGAUGUACCGACGCUUAUGGAACACAGUAUGCUUAGUAAGUACUUUGAAGCUUUUUAAAGCUGAAAUGAAUUACUUACUUGAAAGGCCAUGUAAGAAAUGGUCGAAAUGAUUUCAACAAGUUUAAAAGCAGAUUACACAUAAUGUUGAAAACUGUAACAUAUUGUUUUGCACAAUGAGACUCCUAAAGUUUCAAAGCCAAUCUAUAAUAAACUUACUCUUGUCUUCAGUAAAGUACAACCAAUUUACCCACAUCCACCCAGCAUUAACAGAAGGAAUACAGUGUAAACAGCGAAUAAAAGAUUUGCAACAUUUAGGUUUUAUAGCUGUAAAUGUGUUAAACCAUUUUCUUUAGGAGUUAGGAAUGUCUGAGAAAUUUUCAUGAUCUCUUCCCCUGACCGUAAUACAUGUUGGAAUGAAUGGGUUACAUAUACAAACAAACAUCAUCAUCAUAAUAUACAAAGAUUACUAUUCCAUCAUCUAUAAUCUUAUUGAAUUCCAACCUACUUCUUUCCAAAAAUAUCUAUCUCCAUCCCCAAAGGGUUUUUUUCUCAUAUAAAAUCUCAGCAUGCAAUAUAAACCUAACAAAAAUGCAUUUGGUGGCAUGGUUGUUUAUCCAGUACAAUCUCGUACAUGUGUAAGAGCUAAUGUGUUCAAAGAGCCUUGGAACACAACUAAGGACACCACCUAACAUCACAACCUUAAUUCAGCAAGUGGAUCUAUCGUCGGUUGAGCUGACAUUAGACCAGUAGAACCUGUUGUAUCCAAAUCUCAGUCCUUCCAGGAUAAGCAUGUCUCUGGAUUAUAGGAUAGAGAAAUAGGAAUUGUAUUUUGGAGUUCCCAAGUGUGGGAAAUUACUUAGGCCAAUCCAAACUUUCUGCUGGCACAGAGUUUGUAACUCUUGACUGAGCAAGGUUUGGAUGUAGUAUAACACCACCUCCAAACCUCAUUCAGGUUUGAUUUCUAGUUAGUUUCAGGGCAAAGUAAGUUGGUUUUGACCUUUU